UAGGGAAUCUUCCGCAAUGGACGCAAGUCUGACGGAGCAACGCCGCGUGAGUGAAGAAGGAUUUCGGUUCGUAAAACUCUGUUGUUAGAGAAGAACAGCGCAUAGAGUAACUGUUAUGCGUGUGACGGUAUCUAACCAGAAAGCCACGGCUAACUACGUGCCAGCAGCCGCGGUAAUACGUAGGUGGCAAGCGUUGUCCGGAAUUAUUGGGCGUAAAGCGCGCGUAGGCGGUUAGAUAAGUCUGAAGUUAAAGGCAGUGGCUCAACCAUUGUAGGCUUUGGAAACUGUUUAACUUGAGUGCAGAAGGGGAGAGUGGAAUUCCAUGUGUAGCGGUGAAAUGCGUAGAUAUAUGGAGGAACACCGGUGGCGAAAGCGGCUCUCUGGUCUGUAACUGACGCUGAGGCUCGAAAGCGUGGGGAGCGAACAGG
rnacentral:rRNA from 1 species